AACGCGAAGAACCUUACCUCGGCUUGACAUGCACGUGGUACUGAUGGGAAACCAAAGGGACCCGCAAGGGAGCGUGCACAGAUGCUGCAUGGCUGUCGUCAGCUCGUGCCGUGAGGUGUUGGGUUAAGUCCCGCAACGAGCGCAACCCUUGUCCUUAGUUGAAAUCUCUAGGGAGACCGCCGGUCUAAACCGGAGGAAGGUGGGGAUGACGUCAAGUCAGCACGGCUCUUACGUCGAGGGCUACACACACGCUACAAUGGCCGGUACAACGGGCUGCAAAGGGGCGACCUGGAGCUAAUCCCACCAAAGCCGGUCUCAGUUCGGAUCGCAGGCUGCAACUCGCCUGCGUGAAGUCGGAGUUGCUAGUAACUGCUGGUCAGCACACAGCAGUGAAUACGUUCCCGGGCCUUGUA
rnacentral:rRNA from 1 species